GACGAACGCUGGCGGCGUGCUUAACACAUGCAAGUCGAACGGAAAGGCCCCUUUGGGGGUACUCGAGUGGCGCACGGGUGAGUAACACGUGAGUAACCUGCCCUUGACUUCGGGAUAACUUCAGGAAACUGGGGCUAAUACCGGAUAGGAAUCCUUGCUGCAUGGUGGGGGUUGGAAAGCUUCGGCGGUUUUGGAUGGACUCGCGGCUUAUUAGCUUGUUGGUGGGGUAGUGGCUUACCAAGGCUUUGACGGGUAGCCGGCCUGGGAGGGCGACCGGCCACAUUGGGACUGAGGGAAGGCACAGGCGCCUACGGGAGGAAGAAGGGGGGAAUAUUGCACAAUGGGCGGCAGGCUGAUGCAGAAACGCCGCGUGCGGGAUGACGGCCUUCGGGUUGUAAAACGCUUUCAGCAGGGGCGAAGCUUGUGGUGACGGUACCUGCAGAAGAAGCACCGGCUAACUACGUG
rnacentral:rRNA from 1 species